UUAUCGCGUUGUUGCGAUACAGAGAUGAGUCAUCUCAAAGGAGAGGGAGGGGCCAACAGGGCUUUGACUCGGGCUGGCUAGGAAAGGGAGGGACAAGCACUGGGUGGAAUCAGCUCAGCGGGACUUUAACCCGGAAGCGCUGACGGUGGCACACCACCAGGCAAAAUCCACCUCAAAAUCUGGGAAUAACGUGGCAGCCGCGGAACAACAAAACCCGCCGGACAAAAUCAACCUCACCGCCCUCCGGCAGCUGACCCAGGCCAACCCCGCCCCUUGCCUCUCUCCAUUGGUCCGCAGAAGCUCCUUCGGUUUCCCAGGGCCCGCCCCUCUGGAGCUGGGAGAGGAGGCGCGCUCCCUCUUCACUUAGACGCCGGCGGCCAUAAUGAGUGUGGCAUGACAGGGGACGGUGGGUCUAUUCUCUAUUUUUGCCACCGCUGACUCAAUGCACACACUCUGCAAGUGUUUCCCUUUAGUCGUGGGCUCUCGGGACCCGAAAUAAACAGACUGGAGUGCUAUGUCACGAUCUCGGCUCACCGCAACCUCUGCCUUCCGGGUUCAAGCAAUUCUCCUGCCUCAGCCUCCUGAGUAGCUGGGACUACAGGCGCGCACCACAAUGCCCAGUGAGAAGAUGGUUGUCUAUGAACCAGGAAGUGGGCCUUCACCAGACACCGUAUCCUCUGGCACCUUGCUCUUGAACUUUCCUGUCUCCAGCUGAGAGAAAUAAGUGUUUGCUGUUUAAGCCAACCAGUAAUGGUAUUCUGUUAUAGCAGCCAGAAUGGAUAAAGACAACUUCUUUAAGUGGCCCUUCUCUGUCUGAAAAUUCCUCUUUCUCUUAGGUAAUUUUUCCAUUUGCUAUACCUUAUAGCACUUAAUAUGCAAUGGUUAGG